CCCCAGUGCGUGUAGUACAGCAGUGAGGAAUUUUGGUCAAUGGCCUAACGGCUGAACCAGCAACUUGCAGGAAUGAGAGUAAUAUAAUAAGUUUAUUAACUUGCUUGACUAGGUCUUAUAAAGUUCUGGAUAAAGCUUAUUAUGAAAACUUUAUAUCCAUAGGUCUCGACCAAAUCUUGUGCCAGCAGUCGCGGUAAGACAAGGGAGACAAGUGUUAUUCAUCUUUAACAGGUAUAUAGGGUACCUAGACGGUGUAAAAUGGCUUGGAUAAGUACCUAUUACACUUGAGUUUGAUAUGGGAGAGGAAUAUGUCGGAAUUGUUGGUGUAAAGAUGAAAUUUGCUAAUACCAAUAGGACCGGUAACGGCGAAGGCAAACCUCUAUGUACAUAUACUUGCUUAUUCUAUAGAAGAAUUGAUUUGAAAUUAUAAUUGGAUUCUAAAGAAUUACUCUUUCUUACUAGAUUGAAAAUGAAAGUGAAGAAAACGCUUAAAUGCAUAAAGAAAAAAGGCAAGCUAUUAUAACUGACGUUGAGGGACGAAGGCUCAGAGAGUGAAGAGGAUUAGAUACCCCCGUAGCCUGGGCAGACAAUGAUGAGUGCCAUAGGUUGGCUUUACGCGGAACUAUAAAUGAAAGUGCAAGCACUCCACCUCAAGAGUAAUGUGGCAACGCAGGAACUGAAAUCAUUAGACCGUUUCUGAAACCAGUCGUGAAGUAUGUUAUUUAAUUCGAUGAUCCUCGAAUAACCUUACCACAAUUUGAAUGACCUAAAAUAUUUUUUUAGACCACAUGCGUUGCAUGGCUGUCUUCAGUUAAUGUCGUGAGAUUUGGUUAGGUCCAUUAAAUUAACGUAAACCCUUGUUUUAUUUAUUACUAUAAAGCAGCUCUCCGCUUACAAUUGGAUGUGAUAAUAGGGACUAAGACAAGUCAUCAUGGCCUUAAUA
rnacentral:rRNA from 1 species